CGGCGCACCCAAGCUCCGAGCAGAGAAGGGUGGGGGCAUGAGGGCGCGGGAGUGAAGGACUGGUUGGAGCCUCCCCACUUCCUUUCCAAUCUCAACCCUCACAACAGGGGUGAGGCCCGCGAGGGCCUCGAAUUAAGGACGAAUUGGCUAUUUCUGUUUUCCUGUCUCCGCCCCUGAGCCUAUCCUCCCUCUAAGCCCGCCUUUAGGUACGGGAACCGAGGUCCAGACUGGAGACUAGGAAACCCUACAAAGGGUAUGUGGAGGAAGGCAAAGCGGGAAGGCUGCUUGCAGUGGUUCUGGACAAGACUUUCGAGAACAGAUAUGAGUUAGAGUUUGCACGCUUUAGCUUUUCAAGAAACUCAGCCUCUAUAGCAACUCUGAUUGCACUCACG
rnacentral:lncRNA from 1 species